rnacentral:rRNA from 1 species
UACGUAGGAGGCAAGCGUUUGUCCGGAAUUACUGGGCGUAAAGCGCGUGUAGGUGGUGGGACAAGUCUGCUGUGAAAGCGCCUGGCUUAACCGGGCGAGGUCGGCGGAAACUGUCCGACUCGAGGACGGUAGAGGGGGGUGGAAUUCCCGGUGUAGUGGUGAAAUGCGUAGAUAUCGGAAGGAACACCAGUGGCGAAAGCGGCUUCCUGGUCCAGCACCGACGUCAGGCACGAAAAGCGUGGGGGAGCAAACAGG